GCUCCAACUACAAUUCCAGCGCCAGCUCCAAGGCAAGCACCGCAAAGCGGAAACGGAAAUCGGAAACUGUGCAACUGUGCAACUGCCACCAUCAGAGGCAGAGGCAGAGCCAGAGGCAAAGGCAAAGGCAGAAAUAGGCGGCACCAGCACCGGCACCAGGACACGAGGACACAAGGACAACAGCAGGCGGGCCUGGGAUGACGAUAAAAGUGUUGCAAUUUAUGGUCAGGCUAGAUGGCGCCCAGGCACAGGGCCCAGGCCUGGUCUCAGUUUCGGUUUCAGCCCAAUCACUACCCCAAAGCGAAGACCCAGGCCAUAGACAGAGGCAGAGGCAGAGGCAGAGACAGAGCCAGCUAAAGUUUCUGGCUAAUUGAUUUUGUGAUUUUAUCUUUUAAUGACUUUUUCGGAAAGUGCAAAACUAAACUGUGGACUGUCGUGGCGCCUGCCUCGUAUAUAUUUGAUUUUAAUUGCAUUAAAUGCACUGCUUGCCAUACCCCUCCCAAUCAACGCACAGCAAGCAGUUUAUUGAGCAGCGACAGCCCAAAAGUAUGCAUCGCGCCCAUACGCCACUUCCAU
rnacentral:lncRNA from 1 species